CAACUGUUGUCUGUUCGCCCAAUGACAUCAUCCAGUCUUUUGUAGACAGUUGCUAGGGGUUACUUGAUGACAUUUCAAGCGAUGAAACAGUCCUGCCCUAGAUAUAUUAGAGAUACGUGGUCCCAUUUCCGAAUUAACGUAUAAAAGGACUAAAUAAGCUUCAUUUUCAUUUUGAACUAAGUUCUACAACAUAAAGUUUAUGAGAUGGCAGAGUCCGGUCUAGCAGAAAAAGUGCUUAUCACCGAAAGUGCGGAGACUAUUCGCCCUAGUCCAGUGUUCACGGAUCCCUAUGAACGCUCCGUGAAGUAUAUGGAGUCUCAUAAUAUUCUUCAGAUUUUUCAGUCUCCUUUGUCCUCUUUUAGGACAUCACGGAGAAGCUGGUUUAUGAUAGGCCAGAUGAUCCACUUCAGUUCAUGUUAGAACAGGUACAAAUGAAGAUCAAAGUCCGAGAUGAUCCAAGUAAUACAUUUGUGGAAUCAUAAUGAAAGUAACAAUGGCUAUGCAAGAAACUGAAUUCAAGUUUGUACUCUCAAUUAUUUUCUUAAUUGAGCUGUAUUGGUUGCAGGUACUUCAGUGACUCAGUGAAUUCUUGUUGUUUCCAAGCAACUGUCUUCAGAAUUUCUUUUCUUGACAAAGUUAAACUUUCUUUUGUCUUGCUGCAAUUUUAGAUAUUUGCAUACAUUUUCAGUGAAAUUGUAACGUAGACUUAAUAAAGAGUCAAAGAAUUGAUUCUUUUUAAUGCAUUUUCACUUGCAAUUCUCAGAUUUUAUGGAGGAACUUCUAGCCUAUACAUUUUGCAAGUCUUUUCAAGAAAAUUGCUUGCUGGACAUUUCCACUUGCACAAAAGUAGCUGGCCUUUGCUCAGCUCAAAUGUCCAUCUUGAAUUUUGGCUGCAGAAGUAAAGGAAGUCUUUGUUUAUAGUCGGCUCUUCUUACAGUGUAUUUCUGUAGUUAUCUACCUUCCCUCUGGAGCAACAUCUGGUGUUUCAAGACUGGCUUAGCAAAUGCUUUCACUCCAUUUUAAAAUAAGUCUAAAAACACUGCUACAAAAGAAUUGUCAAGGGUUCAUUUCACUAGUGUUUCGGCAGAUGCAUUGGCAAUGUCAUGACAAGAUUUUUUCCUUCACGUACUGUACGUUCUGUCUCAGUUUACGGCACUUAAAUUACAUCUCUAAUUUAUUACGACAUUGCAAUGAUAACAUUUGAUUAUUAUUUCAUAUAUAAUUAGUUCUGACAUUCUGCCAUCAAAGCUGUCAUGACAUUUUGACUUUAUUAAAUAGUAGUACAUUGUCUGUUUGACAUCGCACUGUGUCUUCUUAGUUAUUCUAUAUUUAAAUAGUACCACAUGUUUAAAUACUAAUGUAU